rnacentral:misc_RNA from 1 species
UUUGCAUUUCACUUAUACCCGCUGCAAGACAAAGAAAGCUGCCUCACACUUCAAAGACAAGAAGCGAGAUGAUAAGUUUCGCCCUAGUUUCUUCCGCCGGUAUUGCCGAGCCACCUGAGUUGGCUUCCCCUGCCCUUCAGGGAGGGGAAGGGAACACCGUUUUAGUUCUCCGAAUGGGUGAGGAGGUUAGCUCUCCCUCUUCCUUGAGGUCGGGGUGUAUAUGUUUGGUUUGCUAUUUUGUGCAGAUGGGGAGAAAGGAGAGAGCAACUUUAGAAACCUGUAAUAGGGUGUGAUCUGGUGGGCUGGUAGUGGUGCUGUCAUGGGGAGAGGGUGGUUUGCAAAGUAGUUGGCUGGCAGGAGACGAAAAAUGGCCGACCCAAGGCUGCAAAGACUGAAACUCCUUGAACCAAUGCGGUUUAGCUAUUGUCUUCUUAGCAUUUGCUGCUGUUUGGUCAGAUCUGGUAGCCUUGGUCUAGCGGCGAUUGGGAUUUCUCGGAUGCUUUAGAUGUCCUUCUAGCUCUGGGUUGUUGUGUUUUGAGUUUUCUCAAUUACUACUUUUGCUCCAACUAGGGUUUUGUGCUAAAAGGUGACUGUUGCCUUGCUGUGCUGGUGGGAAGGGUCCUAAUGGGAGAUUCAACAAAGUUCCAAUUGUGUUUUGCAGGGGUUUGGUUGCUUAUGAGCCUUGAAAUUCCGGCAAUGCUGCUUGGUUCUCGUGUAAAUAUGGGCUUGGGUAGUUUUUUUUUUAUUUUUAUUAUUGGUGGGUCUCGCUCUGAAUUGGGUUUCUAUUGGAGCUGGAUUUAAAACUUGAUUAUAUCAAUUUCAUGUAAUUCUGUCCUAUGGGUCUUGAUAAUGCAAUUCUAUAUUUGCAUGUUCGAAGGAAAAAAAAAAAAAAG